UACGAAGGGGGCUAGCGUUGCUCGGAAUCACUGGGCGUAAAGGGUGCGUAGGCGGGUCUUUAAGUCAGAGGGGAAAUCCUGGAGCUCAACUCCAGAACUGCCUUUGAUACUGAGGAUCUUGAGUUCGGGAGAGGUGAGUGGAACUGCGAGUGUAGAGGUGAAAUUCGUAGAUAUUCGCAAGAACACCAGUGGCGAAGGCGGCUCACUGGCCCGUAACUGACGCUGAGGCACGAAAGCGUGGGGAGCAAACAGG
rnacentral:rRNA from 1 species